CUCCAGGGUAAACCGGGUGGACAAAAUAUUUUGGUGGGUCUGGUUAGUUUUGCUCACUUCUCUUUAAAAUCUGUAUUUAUUAUCCUAAUGUGUCUGCUAUUUAUCCUGUUGUUCCUCCAGGCUGGGAAAACCAGGCAUUCUUCUGUUGGUUCAUGUGCUUCGUCCUACAUCCAAAGGCCACAAGAAGAAUCCAAAACAGCUCAUGUCAAACUGUGGACCAUGUUUUCAGAUAUGUGCAGAUGCAAGCCAGUGUUGAACCCUUCCUCAUUGCCGUGCAACCAGGACAGCCCUUCCUCCUGCAUGUUGGUGAAAACAAGAGCAGCACCAAAGACACUUCACCAUCAGUGAUCACAAGAUCAUCCAAGUCCCUGUGGCAAGCAGUUUUCUGCAUGGUCAGCAUUGAAGGCCAUAUUGUCUUUGAGAGGGUCCAGCCAACAUUCCAGACAUGACAGUGUUGUCCAUCUUCUACAUCUUCAGCCUCCAAUGAGGCAACCAAGACUUUGGUUCAUUCAACGGUAAAACCAUUCCUGUAUUUCUUUUUACAAUGACAUGGUUUUAAAGCAAAUUAUGAUUAACAUUUGAUAAAGGUGGUGAUGUUUUCUCUUAACAUAAUUAAAAAUAGCUUUAUUUAUAUAUUUUACCAGCUGUAUUCAGAAUGC